AACGGAGCGCAAGCGACGUUCAACCGCAAAAGAAGCAGAGGGGGCUUAGUGGUGGGGUGACUGCGUACCUUUUGUAUAAUGGGUCAGCGACUUAUAUUCUGUAGCAAGGUUAACCGAAUAGGGGAGCCGGAGGGAAACCGAGUCUUAAUUGGGCGUUAAGUUGCAGGGUAUAGACCCGAAACCCGGUGAUCUAGCCAUGGGCAGGUUGAAGGUUGGGUAACACUAACUGGAGGACCGAACCGACUAAUGUUGAAAAAUUAGCGGAUGACCUGUGGCUGGGGGUGAAAGGCCAAUCAAACCGGGAGAUAGCUGGUUCUCCCCGAAAGCUAUUUAGGUAGCGCCUCGUGAAUUCAUCUCCGGGGGUAGAGCACUGUUUCGGCUAGGGGGCCAUCCCGGCUUACCAACCCGAUGCAAACUGCGAAUACCGGAGAAUGUUAUCACGGGAGACACACGGCGGGUGCUAACGUCCGUCGUGAAGAGGGAAACAACCCAGACCGCCAGCUAAGGUCCCAAAGUCAUGGUUAAGUGGGAAACGAUGUGGGAAGGCCCAGACAGCCAGGAUGUUGGCUUAGAAGCAGCCAUCAUUUAAAGAAAGCGUAAUAGCUCACUGGUCGAGUCGGCCUGCGCGGAAGAUGUAACGGGGCUAAACCAUGCACCGAAGCUGCGGCAGCGACGCUGAUGCGUUGUUGGGUAGGGGAGCGUUCUGUAAGCCUGCGAAGGUGGCCUGUGAGGGUUGCUGGAGGUAUCAGAAGUGCGAAUGCUGACAUAAGUAACGAUAAAGCGGGUGAAAAGCCCGCUCGCCGGAAGACCAAGGGUUCCUGUCCAACGUUAAUCGGGGCAGGGUGAGUCGACCCCUAAGGCGAGGCCGAAAGGCGUAGUCGAUGGGAAACGGGUUAAUAUUCCCGUACUUGGUGUUACUGCGAAGGGGGGACGGAGAAGGCUAUGUUGGCCGGGCGACGGUUGUCCCGGUUUAAGCGUGUAGGUGUGUGUUCCAGGUAAAUCCGGUUCACUUUAACACUGAGGCGUGAUGACGAGGCACUACGGUGCUGAAGCAACAAAUGCCCUGCUUCCAGGAAAAGCCUCUAAGCAUCAGGUAACAUCAAAUCGUACCCCAAACCGACACAGGUGGUCAGGUAGAGAAUACCAAGGCGCUUGAGAGAACUCGGGUGAAGGAACUAGGCAAAAUGGUGCCGUAACUUCGGGAGAAGGCACGCUGACACGUAGGUGAAGUGAUUUACUCAUGGAGCUGAAGUCAGUCGAAGAUACCAGCUGGCUGCAACUGUUUAUUAAAAACACAGCACUGUGCAAACACGAAAGUGGACGUAUACGGUGUGACGCCUGCCCGGUGCCGGAAGGUUAAUUGAUGGGGUCAGCGCAAGCGAAGCUCCUGAUCGAAGCCCCGGUAAACGGCGGCCGUAACUAUAACGGUCCUAAGGUAGCGAAAUUCCUUGUCGGGUAAGUUCCGACCUGCACGAAUGGCGUAAUGAUGGCCAGGCUGUCUCCACCCGAGACUCAGUGAAAUUGAACUCGCUGUGAAGAUGCAGUGUACCCGCGGCAAGACGGAAAGACCCCGUGAACCUUUACUAUAGCUUGACACUGAACAUUGAGCCUUGAUGUGUAGGAUAGGUGGGAGGCUUUGAAGUGUGGACGCCAGUCUGCAUGGAGCCGACCUUGAAAUACCACCCUUUAAUGUUUGAUGUUCUAACGUGGACCCGUGAUCCGGGUUGCGGACAGUGUCUGGUGGGUAGUUUGACUGGGGCGGUCUCCUCCUAAAGAGUAACGGAGGAGCACGAAGGUUGGCUAAUCCUGGUCGGACAUCAGGAGGUUAGUGCAAUGGCAUAAGCCAGCUUGACUGCGAGCGUGACGGCGCGAGCAGGUGCGAAAGCAGGUCAUAGUGAUCCGGUGGUUCUGAAUGGAAGGGCCAUCGCUCAACGGAUAAAAGGUACUCCGGGGAUAACAGGCUGAUACCGCCCAAGAGUUCAUAUCGACGGCGGUGUUUGGCACCUCGAUGUCGGCUCAUCACAUCCUGGGGCUGAAGUAGGUCCCAAGGGUAUGGCUGUUCGCCAUUUAAAGUGGUACGCGAGCUGGGUUUAGAACGUCGUGAGACAGUUCGGUCCCUAUCUGCCGUGGGCGCUGGAGAACUGAGGGGGGCUGCUCCUAGUACGAGAGGACCGGAGUGGACGCAUCACUGGUGUUCGGGUUGUCAUGCCAAUGGCACUGCCCGGUAGCUAAAUGCGGAAGAGAUAAGUGCUGAAAGCAUCUAAGCACGAAACUUGCCCCGAGAUGAGUUCUCCCUGAGACUUUAGGUCUCCUGAAGGAACGUUGAAGACGACGACGUUGAUAGGCCGGGUGUGUAAGCGCAGCGAUGCGUUGAGC
rnacentral:rRNA from 1 species